rnacentral:rRNA from 1 species
GUAGGGAAUAUUGGGCAAUGGGUGCAAGCCUGACCCAGCCAUCCCGCGUGCCGGAUGAAGGCCCUCUGGGUCGUAAACGGCUUUUGACGGUGAAGAACCGAAAGGGUGCGCCCUUUUUUGACGGUAGCCGUUGAAUAAGCACCGGCUAACUCCGUGCCAGCAGCCGCGGUAAUACGGAGGGUGCGAGCGUUGUCCGGAUUUAUUGGGUUUAAAGGGUGCGUAGGCUGGAGGGACAGUCAGCGGUGAAAAGCAGUUGCUCAACAAUUGUCUUGCCGCAGAUACUACCUUACUUGGAUUGGGAGUAGGUUACCGGAACGGAUGGUGUAGCGGUGAAAUGCAUAGAUAUCAUCCAGAACGCCAAUUGCGAAGGCAGAUAACUGUACCUAUAUCGACGCUGAUGCACGAAAGCAUGGGUAGCGAACAGGAUUAGAAACCCCAGUAGUCC